rnacentral:rRNA from 1 species
AUUGAACGCUGGCGGCAGGCCUAACACAUGCAAGUCGAGCGAGCGGCGGACGGGUGAGUAAUGUAUGGGGACUGCCCGAUAGAGGGGGAUAACUACUGGAAACGGUGGAUAAUACCGAAUAAUGUAGGAUAAACCAUAGGGGAUUAGCUAGUAGGUAAGGUAAUGGCUUACCUAGGCGACGAUCCCUAUCUGGUCUGAGAGGAUGAUCAGCCACACUGGGACUGAGACACGGCCCAGACUCCUACGGAGUCAGCAGUGGGUACUAUUGCACAAUGGGCGCAAGCCGGAUGCAGCCAUGCCGCGUGUAUGAAGAAGGCCCUAGGGUUGUAAAGUAUUUUCAGUCGGGAGGCGUUACCGACAGAAGAAGCACCGGCUAACUCCGUGCCAGCAGCCGCGGUAAUAC